GGGCUGGUCAGUCCGGGGUGAAAUCUCACGGCUCAACCGUGAGCGGUCCCCGGAUACUGCCAGUCGUGAGGUGUCUAGAGGAGAGCGGAAUUCCCGGUGUAGUGGUGGAAUGCGUAGAUAUCGGGAAGAACACCAGUGGCGAAAGCGGCUCUCUGGGGACCACCUGACGCUGAGGCGCGAAAGCGUGGGGAGCGAACCG
rnacentral:rRNA from 1 species